AUGGUUGGGGAUGAAUUUGGAAACCAGUUUGUUCAAGCAAGGAUAUCAUGGUGGCGGCAUCCUUGUGGUGGACCGGUGUCCUCGGCCUUCGCGGUUGCGAUGAUGUUUGCUCCAGAGCCGGCGCGGAGCUUGAGUGGUAGUCCAGGAGCCGAUGCAGAUUGUGGUCUGCAUCGGCGGCAUCUGGAAGAUGGUGGAUCGUGUGUUGGGUUCGAGUUCGUGGAUAGUAGAUGUAGUUUUUUCCUCCGACGUCUUAGUCGUGUGGGGGUGCCAGAUCUAGAGUUCGAUGGCGUGUCCGGAGUGUUUCCUCGGUCUGAUUUGUUCAACGAUAAUAGUUUUGCCUUUGGUGAGCCACCAUGGAGGUACGCAAAGCUGUAUAUCAGGGAUAGAGCCACUUCGAACUCGGGUGUGAAGGUGAUUCAUCAUUGUUUUCUUUGGUGGCUGUUGUGGUGGUGCCAGAGGCAAGUGACAGGCAUUGGUUUCAAGCUCAGAGGAUUCUUCAGUCUUGAUUGUAAUUUUAUUUCUUGUCUGGUGUUCCUUUGCGCUUUGUUGUCUUUUCAGUUUUGCAUGUGUAUGUGGCUUGUACUAUGA
rnacentral:rRNA from 1 species